rnacentral:rRNA from 1 species
AGAGUUUGAUCAUGGCUCAGAUUGAACGCUGGCGGCAUGCCUUACACAUGCAAGUCGAACGGCAGCACGGGAGCAAUCCUGGUGGCGAGUGGCGAACGGGUGAGUAAUAUAUCGGAACGUGCCCAAUCGUGGGGGAUAACGCAGCGAAAGCUGUGCUAAUACCGCAUACGAUCUACGGAUGAAAGCGGGGGAUCGCAAGACCUCGCGCGAAUGGAGCGGCCGAUAUCAGAUUAGCUAGUUGGUGGGGUAAAAGCUCACCAAGGCGACGAUCUGUAGCUGGUCUGAGAGGACGACCAGCCACACUGGAACUGAGACACGGUCCAGACUCCUACGGGAGGCAGCAGUGGGGAAUUUUGGACAAUGGGCGCAAGCCUGAUCCAGCAAUGCCGCGUGCAGGAUGAAGGCCUUCGGGUUGUAAACUGCUUUUGUACGGAGCGAAACGGCUCUUCCUAAUACGGGGGGCUAAUGACGGUACCGUAAGAAUAAGCACCGGCUAACUACGUGCCAGCAGCCGCGGUAAUACGUAGGGUGCGAGCGUUAAUCGGAAUUACUGGGCGUAAAGCGUGCGCAGGCGGUGAUGUAAGACAGAUGUGAAAUCCCCGGGCUCAACCUGGGACCUGCAUUUGUGACUGCAUCGCUAGAGUACGGUAGAGGGGGAUGGAAUUCCGCGUGUAGCAGUGAAAUGCGUAGAUAUGCGGAGGAACACCGAUGGCGAAGGCAAUCCCCUGGACCUGUACUGACGCUCAUGCACGAAAGCGUGGGGAGCAAACAGGAUUAGAUACCCUGGUAGUCCACGCCCUAAACGAUGUCAACUGGUUGUUGGGUCUUUGCUGACUCAGUAACGAAGCUAACGCGUGAAGUUGACCGCCUGGGGAGCACGGCCGCAAGGUUGAAACU